rnacentral:rRNA from 1 species
UACAGAGGGGGCAAGCGUUGUUCGGAAUUACUGGGCGUAAAGGGCGCGUAGGCGGCCUGCUAAGUCGAACGUGAAAUCCCUGGGCUCAACCCAGGAACUGCGUCCGAUACUGGAUGGCUUGAAUUCGGGAGAGGGAUGCAGAAUUCCAGGUGUAGCGGUGAAAUGCGUAGAUAUCUGGAGGAAUACCGGUGGCGAAGGCGGCAUCCUGGACCGACAUUGACGCCGAACGGCGAAAGCUAGGGGAGCAAACGGG